rnacentral:rRNA from 1 species
AAGAAAGUAAAUAAGGGCACACGGGGGAUGCCUAGGCUCUCAGAGGCGAUGAAGGACGUGAUAAGCUGCGAUAAGCUUCGGGGAUUAGCAA